UACGGAGGGGGCUAGCGUUGUUCGGAAUUACUGGGCGUAAAGGGCGCGCAGGCGGCUGCUCAAGUCAGGCGUGAAAGGCCUGGGCUCAACCCGGGAAUUGCGCUUGAGACUGGGCUGGCUUGAGUGCGGGAGAGGAUGGUGGAAUUCCCAGUGUAGAGGUGAAAUUCGUAGAUAUUGGGAAGAACACCGGUGGCGAAGGCGACGUCCUGGACCGGCAUUGACGCUGAGGCGCGAAAGCCAGGGGAGCAAACGGG
rnacentral:rRNA from 1 species